GUGGGGAAUAUUGGACAAUGGGGGCAACCCUGAUCCAGCAAUGCCGCGUGUGUGAAGAAGGCCUGCGGGUUGUAAAGCACUUUUAGUGGGGAGGAAAGGGUAGUGUUUAAUAGACACUAUCUGUGACGUUACCCACAGAAAAAGCACCGGCUAACUCUGUGCCAGCAGCCGCGGUAAUACAGAGGGUGCGAGCGUUAAUCGGAAUUACUGGGCGUAAAGAGCACGUAGGUGGUUGUACAAGUCACUUGUGAAAUGUUUGGGCUCAACCUGAACCUGUCGAGUGAAACUGUAUGGCUUGAGUUCUGUAGAGGGUAGUGGAAUUUCUGGUGUAGCGGUGAAAUGCGUAGAGAUCAGAAGGAACACCCGUGGCGAAGGCGGCUACCUGGACAGAAACUGACACUGAGGUGCGAAAGCGUGGGUAGCGAACAGGAUUAGAAACCCCAGUAGUCC
rnacentral:rRNA from 1 species